ensembl:misc_RNA Y_RNA Y RNA
GGCUGGUCCGAUGGCGGUGGGUUAUCAGAACUUAUUGACAUUAGUGUCACUAAAGUUGGUAUACCACCCCCCACUGCUAAAUUUGACUGGAUUUAA